rnacentral:misc_RNA from 1 species
AGACUUUUAGAAAUGGAUCCAUCAAAAUUCAAUAACCAUCUUCAGUAACGAGUGUGUGUCAUAAGUUUAAUAUGCAUUACUAAAUUGUUCAAAUUUCUUUUGCGAGCGCGAAGUGUAAUCAUUUCAUUGAAAUACGGGCAUUCACUUUUACAAUGCUCUGUUAACAUUAGUCUAAAGCUCUUAAUUUCGCUUAGUUUUGCAUAUAUAUCUUUAAUGUCUGAACCUAUAAUUACGUUUACAGAUUCGCUAUAUAAGUAUAACGUUUAGCUUAGCUAAUUAUGAAAAAGGUGAAGAUCGUCCUGGAAAAUAAGGUUUAAUACGAUUACCAUAUAUUUUCCUAAUCGAGUCAUUCACCAUUAUUUCGUAAUAAGGGAUUUUUACUUUUU